rnacentral:misc_RNA from 1 species
GGAGAAAGCACUCAUGCUUAUCAGAGCCCCUCAAAAGAUUUGACAGUAAUCAACAACCGCUUGAAUGGCAAUCGGAAGCUCAGAGGCGCUCUUAAUUUUGAUGACGUUGAUGCUGUGGGCUUGGUUAGUGAUUCCAUAGUUGCCAACACCCUUUACCUUCAAAACGGGAACUGCAUAUCAUCACCUCGUGCAGCUGUGAAGACUGAGCAGCCCGAGCCCUAAUACCUGGACAAACUUGCACUGUAAAUAGGCUUUCGGAUUAUGACAUUUCUUUUUCCUAGUUUUUUAAGGGUAUCCUAAA